AGUGAACGCUGGCGGUAGGCCUAACACAUGCAAGUCGAACGGCAGCACAGUAAGAGCUUGCUCUUACGGGUGGCGAGUGGCGGACGGGUGAGGAAUACAUCGGAAUCUACUUUUUCGUGGGGGAUAACGUAGGGAAACUUACGCUAAUACCGCAUACGACCUACGGGUGAAAGCAGGGGAUCUUCGGACCUUGCGCGAUUGAAUGAGCCGAUGUCGGAUUAGCUAGUUGGCGGGGUAAAGGCCCACCAAGGCGACGAUCCGUAGCUGGUCUGAGAGGAUGAUCCGCCACACUGGAACUGAGACACGGUCCAGACUCCUACGGGAGGCAGCAGUGGGGAAUAUUGGACAAUGGGCGAAAGCCUGAUCCAGCCAUACCGCGUGGGUGAAGAAGGCCUUCGGGUUGUAAAGCCCUUUUGUUGGGAAAGAAAAGAAGCAGGUUAAUACCCCGCUGUUCUGACGGUACCCAAAGAAUAAGCACCGGCUAACUUCGUG
rnacentral:rRNA from 1 species